rnacentral:tRNA from 1 species
GCCUCCAUAGCUCAAUGGAUAGAGCAGCGCUCUUCUAAGGCGUUGAUCGAGGUUCGACUCCUCGUGGGGGCA